rnacentral:snRNA from 1 species
GUGUUUGUUUUGACAGCACAUAUACUAUACUGGAAAAAGAAGAUUAGCAUGGCCUGUGCGCAGGAUUGAGACACAAAUUCAUGAAAUAUUCCACAUUAAA